rnacentral:rRNA from 1 species
UAAAUCAGCCACACCACCCGGAACGCACCUGAUCUCACCUGACCUCGGAAGCUAAGCAGGGUUGGGCCUGGUUAGUACUUGGAUGGGAGGAUGGAGACUUAA